rnacentral:lncRNA from 1 species
UUACCCCCUGCGAGCGCGCCAGGACGCGCCGCGGCUCCUGCUUGGUUACGGCCACGGUGCCAGCCGGGGGGGGCAACACUGCCGUCCUUGGGGGCUGUGGGGACGGGGGGGGCACGGAGACCCCAUCCCCAUCCCUGCAGAGAGGAGGUGACGUCCCCCGAGCGAGGAGGGACAGCUGUCCUUGCGCCCCAAGGGACGGGUUUCUCCGUGGGGACGUGCCGAGGGGCACGGCAGGAGGGUGAGAGGCUCAGGGGGGCUUUAACCCCUAGGCAGGCAGGGCUGUGGGGGCAGCUCCGGGUUCACGGGGACCCCGCAGCGGUCCCUGAGGGGACAGGCGCCCGAAUCGCCCCCAUCCCCACCCCAGCAGACCAAGGGGUGGGGACGUUGGGCCUGGAGGGGACUCGGGGACAGCAGGCAGCACGGGGGGGGGGUUUAGAGGAGACCCCGGUGAGCCCUCACGUGCCCGCGCCCCAUUCGCAAGGGCUGCGGGCGAGCAGCUCGGCUGAGCUCCAGGCCCACGGCAGCGGGGACAUUCGCAAAGCAGCAGCUCCAAAAACUAACCCCAGCGAUCCCCCAGUGGUGCCGGACCGGCACCUCGGCGCAUCCCAGACAGAAAGCUGGUCACGUCGGCAGCCCGCCUGGAGCCGAGGACCUCCAAAAGCACGGGGACCUCCAAAAGCACGAGGACCUCCAAAAGCACGGGGACCUCCAAAAGCACGGGGACCUCCAAAAGCACGGCUGUUGGACCAACAAGCACCGAUCUCGCCUCCCCGCACAGCCCGGGGGCACUGCACGGCGGGCACGCACGGCAGGAAAAUAAAACCUCUUUGUGGCCGGGAGCAACACACAUCGGCACGGGUCAAAGCGGGGGCGAUGCCCCCCCGGCCCUGUCCCAGCCACCUGCAGGAGGAGCUGGGUUUUCGGGGUCCCUGCUCUCACCCCACUGGCACUUCCACCCAAAGCCUCUUUUGGGCUUUAGGCAGGUCCAAAGCCGUCCUCCUGGCCAAAACUCGGCACCGGGCCGCCUGUUUUCAGCGGGAGAUAAUUCCUGGGUUACAAGGCUUUUUUUUUUUAAAGCCCCCAGAGUUUUUUGUGAGCUUGAAGGAGGGGAGAGGACAGGACCCGCUGCUGCCAUAGCACCCCUUCCCAUGGGGACAAGGAGCUGAAAUCACGGGGCCGUGUCACCGCCUGACCCCUGGUGGGUGCCCCGGGGGCCCCAAACCCUACAGGUGGCCGAAGCCCAGCUCUGUAGGGCCGGGCGCGCAGCUCCAUCCCCACGUCCCCCCCUACAAAGCCGCGGGCUCUCACCCAUGGCCGAGCCACGGGGUGGCCGUGCAGGGCUGCCACCGGCACCACGCAGCCGGCGGCACCGGGACCCCCGGCCACGUCGGGCAGGGGGACGCGGGCGGCG